rnacentral:rRNA from 1 species
UACGGAGGGUGCAAGCGUUAUCCGGAAUCACUGGGUUUAAAGGGUGCGUAGGCGGCCCGAUAAGUCAGUCGUGAAAUACCCCGGCUCAACCGGCGGGACUGCGAUUGAUACUGUUGGACUUGAAUCAAGUUGAGGCAGGCGGAAUGUGACAUGUAGCGGUGAAAUGCUUAGAUAUGUCAUAGAACACCGAUUGCGAAGGCAGCUUGCUGGGCUUUGAUUGACGCUGAGGCACGAAAGCGUGGGGAGCAAACAGG